GCAACGCCGCGUGAACGAUGAAGGUCUUCGGAUUGUAAAGUUCUGUUGUUAGGGACGAAUAAGUACCGUUCGAAUAGGGCGGUACCUUGACGGUACCUGACGAGAAAGCCACGGCUAACUACGUGCCAGCAGCCGCGGUAAUACGUAGGUGGCAAGCGUUGUCCGGAUUUAUUGGGCGUAAAGCGCGCGCAGGCGGCUAUGUAAGUCUGGUGUUAAAGCCCGGAGCUCAACUCCGGUUCGCAUCGGAAACUGUGUAGCUUGAGUGCAGAAGAGGAAAGCGGUAUUCCACGUGUAGCGGUGAAAUGC
rnacentral:rRNA from 1 species